rnacentral:misc_RNA from 1 species
AAUUUUUCAUAUAAAUUUAGUACGACAGUUCAGUAACGAGUCGUUCCUCCUUAUAAAUUUAAAAAUACGUGUAAGAUAUUUGUUUUUUAACAAUUUGGUAAAAUACUGACCUUAGUCAUUCUAUACAGUGCAUAUUUAAUUUCAUGUUUCUCUUAGAAAUUUGUCCAACAUUUCAUUUACAGGGAACACUAUAAGCGAACUGAAAGUGUUCAUAUCAAAAGCAAUAUACAUACUUAAUAUUUAAAUACAAUGUUAAUUCUGUUCAAAACGAAUAAUUAAUUUGUUAUAUAUACAUACAUAUGUAUGAUAUAUUCGCAAGAACGUCAAUCUUGAGAUCGUUUCCGAACAAAACCAUUGUCUUGGAAAUUGUGUCACACAAUUGCAGCUCUUCCUUGACGAAUUGUACAAGUUCUCACGCUACACGCAAGUACCUUUAUAUCCAAAUGCAGCAUCAGAAGUUUGGCUGCAAGAUGGUCGGUUCGAUCGACAAAAGCUAUCUUUCUCCUCUUUGGGCUGGCACAUACUAACGCGUCUUUCUCUCAACAAGAAUUUGUCAAGAGUUACAGUAGGUCUGGCCAAGACAUCCAUUCUGUCAAAAUGGUAAGCACUACCUAUGCGAUCUCUCUGCAGUGGUCUGGCUAAUACGUUCAUUCUGUCGAAUUGACAGAUACUUCCACCGCGAUCUCUCUGCAAUGGCCUGGCGGGAACCUCCAUCCUAUCGAACUGGCAGAUGCUCAUUCCACGAUCUCGUUGCCAUAAUUUUGGAGAAGCAUCGAAUUGACAAACACUUAUUCCUCUGUUUUGACAGAAAGAUUUGCUUGUCCCGGUUUUGUCCAACUGAUAGACGCUUGUCUUUCGUUCGUCUAACAAUAAUUUCGUGGAAUCGCAGGUCGGCUUAAAAUUCUUUAACGUAUCCUGUUCACUGGAUGAGUCGAGCGUGUUAUUUUCCGUAAAAACGGAGAAUUGAAGGUCGAACGCGCUUUUCGUGCGACGCGCUGUACCUCCGCCACCUGGGAGAAAGGACACACUGGAGCCAAUGAACGCACUGUUUUGCCUCGGUCUCAUUUGUCUCAAAGUGUAGUUCGAGUCGUGCUUUAUUGGACACUCUUCGCAAAGGAUAUUGCAUUUCGAGAAUGUACGUCGGUUCUGCGAACAAACAAACAGAUGAUUUGUAAAUUAAUUUUCAUCGCCACUUUUAAACAGUUCAAUUGAUCUUUGUAAUCUAUUAUACAUUCGUGUUUG